CAGUAGCCGCGGGAAUACGUAGGUGGCAAGCGUUGUCCGGAAUUAUUGGGCGUAAAGGGCUCGCAGGCGGUUUCUUAAGUCUGAUGUGAAAGCCCCCGGCUCAACCGGGGAGGGUCAUUGGAAACUGGGAAACUUGAGUGCAGAAGAGGGGAGUGGAAUUCCACGUGUAGCGGUGAAAUGCGUAGAGAUGUGGAGGAACACCAGUGGCGAAGGCGACUCUCUGGUCUGUAACUGACGCUGAGGAGCGAAAGCGUGGGGAGCGAACAGGAUUAGAUACCCCAGUAGUCCCUGUCUCUUAUAC
rnacentral:rRNA from 1 species